GAUCUCCUGUGAUGUGCGUUAACUUCCUAUAUGUUCAACCUAUGCAAUAUGUUCGGGAUUCCGGUGUUAAAGAAAAUGUUAAGCCCUCGUGGAAGGGACAACAAACACUUUAGUCAGGAUGCCCACCUGCGAAGAGCGGGCUUUGAACAUAUGGAAGGACGGUAUUACGGGUUCUUA
rnacentral:other from 1 species